AUUUUGUAUUAUCUUCUGUGAACUAAAAAAAUGUCCCACAAAGAACACAAAGCUGCAGAGAUAAUAUCUGAGGAGGAAGAUGAUGAAAGAAGACUACGUAUUUGUGCAAAAAAAUACGAAAUCAUAGUGAGACAGUUCGAUGAGUUGAUGGAAAUAAUGACAUCCGAUAGCACAACUAUGAAGGGCCGCAAGAGACAAAGACCCGGUAGUUCCGGUGCAAACACAAGUUCUUCUUCGCACCAACGUGAAAACAAUGAAGUCCUACUGAAGACGGUGACCAAAUUUUUGCAUGAGCUAGGAUCUAACCCUACAGAUUCUGACACAUGAAGUUUAGAUCAAGAAACUAAAUGAAAAUUGCAUUAUAAUAAUCAUGUAGAUAAUGCUUUCAUAAUUAACUGAACCAGCUUGUAAUGUGGAUGAAAAUAUGUUGCACUUGCUAGAGUGGGAUCAAAUAAAGAUAUUUUUUAAGCGUCAAAAAAGAUUGAUAGAUAGUAAAUUUGUUACAAAGGAGACUAUAUAUUAUUGUUGCUAUAGAUAGUUGGAACAUUUUCCUUUAUCUGUUUACAAAGAACAACCAUACAAUUGUGUUUGUACUUUGUAUGCCACAUUUUCAGCUCAAAUGUUAAGCCAUUAGAUAUUUGAGUUUUCUUACA